UCUAUUUAUCGCACGCGCUACUGCACGCGAUUUCGUCGCAGAAGCUCUUCGCGGAGCUCGUUGUCGGUCCGUCUGGCUUUCAGAGGCCCAUUCAGCCUGGCGGCCCAUAUUAAUCUCCCGAUUCGCCCUUCCUUUUUCCUGGAUUUCCUUCAUUUUCGGCUUCUCAGUUAGGGUUUGCGCCGCCGAGGCGAUUCUCAUUCGCCCCAUUCCUCGCGGAUUCGGAUGUCUCCGUCCCAGCAUCUGUGAAGAUUUUGGAAGAUAAUAUUACUCCUGGAAUAACUAUUGCAAUGGGAUAUGAUACUGAAGCCAAUAUUGACCCAACAGAAAUUGAUUGCAGAGAAUAUUCAAUCUGCAGUUAAUUCCAAAAGGAAGGCAAGAAUGGGUUCUAGUACGAUUGACCAGAAGAAAAGGAAUAAUCCAUUCAAGAGAGGUCUACCAUGAAUUCUGAAGCCAAGCUUUUAUGUUGUGGCACCUCAAGAAUGUCAAAGUAACUGGGUUCUAUGAGAUGAUACUUUUUGCAGUUCAAGUAGUUUACAUGUCUGCAGCUCUGAAAAACUAAGCGUACUGUUUAUUACUCUAUUUGGUUACAGAACUUGUUCUCUUGUUCCAUCUUUCUUAACAUCUGGACCAGAAUUCUGAGAACAUUUGAAAGUGUUCUGUCACUCCAUUUGUAAAUAUUCCAAAAAAUGUUCCAGUAAUUACUUUAGAACAUUUGAAAUGUUCUGUAACUCCAUUUGAAAUGUUCCAAAUAAAGUUUCAAGAAUUA